UCUUUUUCUCGUUUCACUGUGGUUAAGUACUGCGGGCUAUGGAGUCGAUUUGCUCCUGAGGUAGUCUUGACAGUUGAUGAUGAGCCAUUCUGGCUGAAGCUUUGGAACAACUGCUGCUAUGACGAUGGCACAAAAAAGAAUGAUAUUCUUUCUGAAACCAAAAGGCAAUGUAAGAAUCAUUCACAAGAAAGAAUGAAGCUUGAGAAAGUAGUUAUGGAGGAUCAACCAUCAAAGCCGCUGCCGUGGACUGUGGGAUUGAAAGGAAUACGUUAGACUGUGAUGUUAAAAUAUAUAAAAGUGAUAACAAAAAUCAAGUACCAAUGGAA